rnacentral:rRNA from 1 species
AGAGUUUGAUCCUGGCUCAGGAUGAACGCUAGCUACAGGCUUAACACAUGCAAGUCGAGGGGCAGCAUGAACUUAGCUUGCUAAGUUUGACGGCGACCGGCGCACGGGUGAGUAACACGUAUCCAACCUGCCGAUGACUCGGGGAUAGCCUUUCGAAAGAAAGAUUAAUACCCGAUGGCAUAGUUCUUCCGCAUGGUAGAACUAUUAAAGAAUUUCGGUCAUCGAUGGGGAUGCGUUCCAUUAGGUUGUUGGCGGGGUAACGGCCCACCAAGCCUUCGAUGGAUAGGGGUUCUGAGAGGAAGGUCCCCCACAUUGGAACUGAGACACGGUCCAAACUCCUACGGGAGGCAGCAGUGAGGAAUAUUGGUCAAUGGACGAGAGUCUGAACCAGCCAAGUAGCGUGAAGGAUGACUGCCCUAUGGGUUGUAAACUUCUUUUAUACGGGAAUAAAGUGAGGCACGUGUGCCUUUUUGUAUGUACCGUAUGAAUAAGGAUCGGCUAACUCCGUGCCAGCAGCCGCGGUAAUACGGAGGAUCCGAGCGUUAUCCGGAUUUAUUGGGUUUAAAGGGAGCGUAGGCGGACGCUUAAGUCAGUUGUGAAAGUUUGCGGCUCAACCGUAAAAUUGCAGUUGAUACUGGGUGUCUUGAGUACAGUAGAGGCAGGCGGAAUUCGUGGUGUAGCGGUGAAAUGCUUAGAUAUCACGAAGAACUCCGAUUGCGAAGGCAGCUUGCUGGACUGUAACUGACGCUGAUGCUCGAAAGUGUGGGUAUCAAACAGGAUUAGAUACCCUGGUAGUCCACACAGUAAACGAUG